UGGUGGUAAUAGCGGAGGUGCUACACCCGAUCCCAUUCCGAACUCGGCCGUGAAACCCUUUUGCGCAGAUGGUACUUGGUCUUAAGACCUGGAAGAGUAUGUCACUGCCAG
rnacentral:rRNA from 1 species